CACGUGCUACGUCAAGGCCCCUCAUUCUUACACUAUCCCUUAGCAUUCUGAGUAUGUAGUGCAUUUAAAAUCAAGUCCCCCAGUAAACAGUGUGACUGGGUAGUGAAACCAACAGUGCACUUACCCUUAAUUAAAUUUUUCUCUCAACCAAAUGUUAUCUGAUUGAAAGGAGAUGUAUUUUUUGUUUUUAAAAAAAUCUAAAUUUGCACCAAAAAAUACAUACAAAAUUUAAUGAAAUAUGACAUUACAGUCUUAAAUAGGAUUAUAUAUAUAAAUUGGAGUAGGCCUACACACAUUCCUCGUCCUACACCCAAUAACCAGAAAAUACACUACAAAUCUGAUUGUGCUAAACAGUAAAAUAGUUACAGUUUCUUUUCCCUUGGGCUGUUAGAGUUGCCUCCUUUCGUAUAGAUUUUUCUGGCCUGAAUGAGAAGUCCCUGCUUGGUAAAAUCAAGGGAAAUGGGCAAACUGGUGAUGUCACGGAGCCGGGAUUGGGCAGGUAUGGGACAUCGGGGUGCAGAAAUAGGCGUAUUGGGCAAUUGUAAGCUGUGGGAGAUGAGAGGGAAUGUUUAAAAAGGAGUUUUUUUAGCGAACCACUUUAGGGAGGGAAGGAGAAGAUUCUCCUUAUUUCUGGGGAACAAUCUAAAAACAACUGAAUUGAAGAAAUUAUUUGGCAGAUGAACAAUUUUAUUGCCGGUAAAUUAGUAAUACCAGCCCCGGUUCUAUCUGGUGUUUUUCUGGCUAGCCCAGUCAAAUAUCAGCUGUGUGGCAACCUUAGGGGCUAUACCUAUUUUCACUUGGCAUUGUAUAAAAUAAAAUGCUAUCAGGACAUUUAUAAGUAUUCUUUUGUGUUUGAGUUGUUAUUGGUAAGGGAUUUCUCCCUACCAAGUCCCGGACAUACUGUAUACCAGGUAGUAAACUAAAAUACAUAGGAAGUUUCCUGCUAUCGAUUGCGGGGUAAUGUCUGUACAUAUUUUGUCCAGGUAGCAAAGAAGGUAGUUACUUAGUGCUCCAUGUUCAAGGUGGCUUCCAGCCAAUCCAUGUGAUAGGCAAAAUCAAGCUUAGUAAUCGUCAUUUCAAGUGAUGGGGGGAGGGUUGAUAUCCAGGAAUACUGUGUCUCCCAAGAUUGCCCACAAAGAUGUGAUAUGUAUCUGAAAAUGUAGCGUGAAUUUACAAUAGGAGGUGACAGUCUCCCAGAAUUGUUUGAUCAAUGGAUAAGACCAUAGACAGUGGUAAAUAUCAAAAUAAGCAAUCAUUUGGGUUAUCGAUUUACUCUGAUAGUAUGUUACAAAUCACUAUUUGUGCAUAAAGCCUAAUUUGGAGAUAUAUUUGUUAAAGAAUGAAAUGGGGAAAGUGUAAAUGAGAGAAUCCUUUUAACUAGGCUUGUUGAACCAGAGGGGUAGUUAAAAAUAAAACAAUUUCUCUUUGUCAGAGAUUUGACAUUUGCUUAUACAAUCACCCCAACGAAGAAUAUUUGUAGGGGAAUUGAGAUGUUGUAACCAAUUAAUAUUUUUUUUUUUCCAUUUAGGAGACUGGAGGCUAAGCCGAGCAGAGGAGACUCACGUUCUUUGAUAAAGGGGAAGGAAAGUCUUUUUAACUUGUGGGUGCCACAAUUUAGGCAUCCCAAGUGAUUUUAUUUACUUAACUGAUAACCCAGGCUGCUGCUCCUGUCAACAGAAAACUGCACAGGCCCAGUGUUCAUCCAGAGAUCACCAAAGAGUGAUUCUCUUUUUCCACUUCUUCAGACAUAACUGCACAGUGGUGUGAAAUAGCUGUUUUUUUCUGUUGUUAAAGUAUGGCUUUUCACUCUGCUGUGUAUGCACAGCUGCGGGAAUAAAGAAUAAGCAUGAACAGGAUCCCUCUGUGUAGCUCACUGGGACUCUGCAGUUUUCUGUUGAUAGGAGCAGCAGCCCUGGGUAUAUACAAUCACUUAGAGCUGCCUAACUUUUGGUACCUUCAAGUAAAAAACUUGCUUCUCCUUUAAAGGGAGGGGAUCUCUCACAUCUUUGCCUGUGUGAUGUGAUGAAAGCCCAAGGAGGAAGUUCUGGACUGAAGAGCUACUGCACAUUCCUUUCCUCUCCUGCUUCAUUUGCAUGUCUUCGACCCAACUGGCUGGCAAGAUUUUUCAUAAGAGAAUUAAUUUAAUUUAUGUUCCAGAAUAUGACUUUGAUUUUAUCAUUAUAAACAAUUGAAAUGUACUAUGCCACAAAAGAGAUCAUAUUCAGUUAAUCUAUCCAUAGAAAAAAAAAAAUAUAUAUAUAUAAAUGUCAGCACAAAAGAAACCAAAAAUAAACAUUAAGAAACAUGUUCUGCAUUCUCUAAUGAACCAGUGUGGCAGAAGAUUUAGGGGUAGAUUUAUUAAAAUGUGAGAUCAGAGCUCACCACAAAAAAAAAUACAGUUCACCAUUUGAUAAAUACACUUAUAGGAAUGACUAGAAAGGGGAUGAGUUUUUUUGUGGUGAGCUCUGAUGUCACAUUAAGGGGCCUAUCUAUUAUGCUGUGUAAAUGGAGUCUUGUCAAAAAAGGUGAUAAGGGUGAAGACACGCAGAGCUACUAGUAGCAGCUACUUGUCACAUCUACAAAAUAGACAAUAGUGAUUAUUGGCUUAGCUAAGACACUACAUGUGUUUUAGCAGAAGCAAGUCUUAGUAUUGUCUGUGGCAGGAUAAUUUUUUGGCUUUUUGUAGCUGCUACUAGUGGCCCUGUGUGUUUUCACCCUAAACGUUGUGUAAAAUAAACAGCAAAUUCCUCAACAUUUGUGCGCCUUCCAAAUUCCACAUUUGGCGGCAUUAGAAAAGUAGAAUGCAUGAUAAGUGCACCUUUUUCCUUUUGAUGUGUGGUGAAUUUGAAUGUUGUUUCUUUGCUGUAUUUUUACACAACCGUAAAUAUUCCCCGUAGUGUCAGUCAAUCGUUCAAGUGUCCAUUGCUAAUUGAUGUGAAAGGGAUAUGCUCUUAGUCAGAGAGGAUCUGGAUAAUUGGCUAUAUAUAUUUUUCAUUGUCCUUUUAUUUGAUAAGGCUGAGAACUCUGCUCCCUGAAUAUCGCAUAAUCAUCUUUUAGCUUUGGUAGGGAGUCAUCAGUUACCGGAGAGAGAGUCUGAUAGUAGUAAAGCAAGCAAGUCUUUAUAAAGUUCAAGAAUGCCAUUGAAACAUACAUUUUAUCUUCUGGACCUGUUUUCCCAAUACUUAGCUUUUCUUGCUAACUGUUUAAACUUUUUUUCCUAGAUACAACAAUUUAUUUUUUGUGGACGAAGAGUUAUCUUCUAUGAAAGGAAUGCUGUCUUCCAUCUCUAAAACAGUCAUUUUGGAGUACACAAGCUUGGCCCACAAAAGUUUUGGAAGGUCGAAGAGGCUAGAACAUUACCGGGUGGAUGGAGCCAGGGCAUACCUAAUAAUGCACAGUUAAGACUUCAUGACAGAACAGUUAGAUGAAUACAGGACUUUUUUCUAUGCUCUUUUCUAAUCACAUGGGCAACAAUGCAUAUGCUGGUGAUUGGUCUCUUCUCUAAAUUCACAUGACUCCAUCUGGUGCACGUGAUAGGGUGAGUGCUUCCUUCUUUGUCUAUGUAAAGUGUUGAUUUUAAACAUUCAUUGUCUUGAAAAAGGUCCUAGAGGU